rnacentral:rRNA from 1 species
UUUUUUUCCGUUUCUAUUUUUUUUUGCAGCUAGGGUUUAGGGGUUAGGGGUGACGGCGGGGGCUCGGGAGCUGGACGAGGGCUGGACGCGGCGGCGGGGCUGGGUGACGCGGCGGUGGGGAUGGACGCGGCAGAGGGUCUGGGUGACGCGGCGGCGGGUCACAAGGAGAAGUAGCAGCAGCAGGGACCCGGUUCCGACUCCUCGGCGGCGUUGCAGCGGUAGCUGGUGGAGUAGGAGAUGGAGGCCGGUGGCGCUGCGGUAGCUGCCUAAACAGCAGAAGUGACGUGGGGGCAGGAGGAGCUCGAGUAGGGGUCUUGGCGCUAUGGAGUAGAUUCCGGAUCUAAUACUUCUUCCAAAACUUCUAGGUCUUCUGAUUCCUCUUCGUCGAUAUUCCAGUCUCUUAAUGUCUCUCACACGAGACAAAAUACAUACAUUAGGACGGAUGACGUGGAUAAAAAACCCGUCACCGUUCUAGGGUUAUAACACUACGACGACGAUGAUAUCUAGGGUUUGAACACUACGACGACGGUGAAAAAAGACAUCAACAAAGAUGACAACAAAGUAUCUUUACCUAAGUAUCACAGGACUUCACCCCGAACUUGGACGUGUUAACAGACAGUGGUGAGUGGUCCUGGUACUACAGGUCGGGUUUGGUAGAUAGACUACCAACACCCGAAGAUAUACGACCGUCGAAGAUACCACAUAUUUUAAUAGAAUACUUUACGACCGUCGAAGACUACACUUU